rnacentral:rRNA from 1 species
AACGUAGGAGACAAACGUUAUCCGGAGUUACUGGGCGUAAAGGGCGUGUAGGCGGUUAGUUAAGUCUGGCGUGAAAGCUCUCGGCUCAACCGGGAGAGGUUGUCCGAUACUGCUGGACUUGAGGGCAGUAGAGGGUGGUGGAAUUCCGGGUGUAGUGGUGAAAUGCGUAGAUAUCCGGAGGAACACCAGUGGCGAAAGCGGCCACCUGGACUGCACCUGACGCUGACACGCGAAAGCUAGGGGAGCGAACGGG